CCUACGGGGUGCUGCAGUGGGGAAUAUUGGACAAUGGGCGAAAGCCUGAUCCAGCCAUGCCGCGUGUGUGAAGAAGGCCUUCGGGUUGUAAAGCACUUUCAGUGGGGAAGAAAGCCUUGGGGCUAAUACCCUCGAGGAAGGACAUCACCCACAGAAGAAGCACCGGCUAACUCCGUGCCAGCAGCCGCGGUAAUACGGAGGGUGCGAGCGUUAAUCGGAAUUACUGGGCGUAAAGCGCGCGUAGGCGGUCUGAUAAGCCGGUUGUGAAAGCCCCGGGCUCAACCUGGGAACGGCAUCCGGAACUGUCAGGCUAGAGUGCAGGAGAGGAAGGUAGAAUUCCCGGUGUAGCGGUGACAUGCGUAGAGAUCGGGAGGAAUACCAGUGGCGAAGGCGGCCUUCUGGACUGACACUGACGCUGAGGUGCGAAAGCGUGGGUAGCAAACAGGAUUAGAUACCCGAGUAGUC
rnacentral:rRNA from 1 species